GUGGGACUCGCACGUGCCCUAUUUCCUCUCUCCCUGUCCGAAGCAGCUCUCGGUCAGUUGAAGAAGUCGCAUUUCGCUUACCAGAUCUUACACAGUUCCCUGCAAUCUCACUUCGCUUCGUUUCCGUAAAGCUCCGGGUCGGAUUCGUCCCCGCGCUCCGGCCGUCGCGUCCGCCCGUGGAGCGGUGGCGGUGGUGGUGCCUCUUCUGGAGCUGCAUCCGUCUGCCGAUAGUUUCGUUCCCCACCCGGUUCCGCCGCCGAUCGCGCCGGCUCGAUGGCUGCCCGGAUUUCAUGAGCUCCUCGAACCGAGGAGAAUGGAAAAUUAAAGGAGCGCGCUGGUGAAGUAAUUUCGUGUAAUUCGUCGAUUAUAAAAGUUUGGCCUUCGUGGAGUCGGGGCAUCUCUAAGUGCUGCAGGUUGAGUUUUGGUGGCAAAAUUUGGGAACAGAGCAGAGACUGAUGGAGGAUGGGCUAAACAGAGGAGACCCUCAAGGAAAUUUUGUUAGGCAAUCGUCGCUGAAGCAGGGCGGUGGCACCUAUAAAUCCACAUUGUCGGGCAGAUCAACGCCUAGGAGUUCUCCUCGUAGAUUGCAUGCUAGCCGAAAUCCAAAAAGAGAAGGUAGAACUGGUGGAGUUAGUUUGCAGUGGUUCCGCAGUAACAGACUGGUGUAUUGGUUGCUUUUGAUCACUCUAUGGACUUACCUUGGAUUUUACUUCCAGUCCAGAUGGGCUCAUGGUGAGAACAGAAAUGAAUUCCUUCGUUUCAGAAAUAAACUAAGAAAACACGAUCCUGACUCUCAUAACAAUGAAAGAAGGAGUUUGAUUGCCAACCACAGUACAACAGCAACAAAAAAUGAGACUGACGUAAGGUUGCCGGAAAAUAAAACAAUAGGUGUGGUGUUGGCUAACAAGGGCGGUGGGGGUUCAUCUCCUCAAAUUGUUGCUAGGAAAAAGAAUAAGAAAUCAUCACGUAGAUCAAGGGGUAAAGCACGCAAACGGGCACCCAAGGUGGAGAUCGAGAGGCAGAGUUAGAAGAGCAGGAACCCGAAAUUCCCCAGAAAAAUACUACUUAUGGUCUCCUUGUUGGUCCAUUUGGCAAGACAGAGGACAAAGUAUUGGAAUGGAGUCCUGAGAAACGAUCAGGCACCUGUGACAGGAAGGGAGAUUUUGCUCGGCUUGUUUGGUCAAGGAGGUUUCUGUUGAUUUUCCAUGAGCUUUCCAUGACCGGUGCUCCCCUAUCAAUGAUGGAGCUUGCGACAGAGCUACUGAGCUGUGGGGCUACAGUUUCAGCUGUGGUUCUUAGCAGGAAGGGAGGAUUGAUGUCGGAGCUUGCUAGGAGAAGAAUCAAAGUGCUUGAAGACAAAGCAGACUUCAGCUUCAAAGUUGGGAUGAAAUCUGAUCUUGUGAUCGCUGGAUCAGCUGUCUGUGCUUCAUGGAUUGAUAAAUACAUGGAGCACUUUCCGGCUGGUGGGAGUCAGAUCACUUGGUGGAUCAUGGAGAACAGGAGAGAGUAUUUUGAUCGUGCAAAGCCUGUACUCAACCGAGUAAAGAUGGUUAUUUUUCUUUCAGAGUCGCAGUCUAAACAGUGGCUAACUUGGUGUGAGGAAGAAAAAAUAAAGUUGAGAUAUCCACCUUCAGUAGUCCCACUAUCAGUUAAUGAGGAAUUGGCUUUUGUUGCUGGGAUUCAUUCUUCACUCAACACCCCAUCCUUCAGCACCGAAAGGAUGAAGGAGAAAAGGAUGUUGCUGAGGGAUUCCGUCAGAAAAGAGAUGGGAUUAACAGAAAAUGACAUGCUUUUGAUUUCUCUGAGUAGCAUAAACCCUGCAAAAGGCCAGCUUCUGCUUCUUGAAUCGGCAUGCUCGCUGAUAGAGAAUGGCUCCUUGCAGCAUAGUACUAAAGUAAAAACCCCUGCAGGACUUGGCAAGGCCCAGGAGGAAGUGAACUCCACUGUAAAGAGUCAUUCGAGAGCAUCGUUUCAGGAGUUGCAUGAUUCUGAGUCAGUGAGUGAACUGCCCAGCUAUUUGGAUUCUUUGAAAAACCCUAAGAGAAAAACUUCGUCAUUGCCUGGUCCCAUGAGGGAGCAUGGGAUAGAUACUUUAAGUUCUGAGCACAUUGCUCAAAGAAGAAAAACAUUGUCUGAUAGUGAAGGGAAGCCACAGCAGGUGCUGAAAGUACUUAUUGGGUCUGUUGGAUCUAAAAGCAAUAAAGUACGAUACGUGAAAGAAACACUUUCAUUUCUAUCCAUGCAUUCAAAUUUUCAAAAUCCGUUCUGUGGACACCAGCAACUACUCGUGUUGCCUCACUUUACUCUGCUGCGGAUGUUUAUGUCAUCAAUUCACAGGGCAUGGGAGAGACAUUUGGAAGAGUUACAAUUGAAGCUAUGGCGUUUGGCCUUCCGGUGCUCGGAACAGAUGCAGGAGGCACAAAAGAGAUUGUCGAUCAUAAUGAAACGGGCCUUCUUCACCCUCCAGGUGGUCCUGGAAUUGAAGUGCUUGCCAGAAAUAUCCAGUACUUGCUUAGAGAACCGGCAUUGAGGGAGCAGAUGGGGAUGAAGGGGAGGAAGAAGGUGGAAAAAAUGUACUUGAAACGGCACAUAUACAAGAAAUUCGCCGUGGUUCUCUCCAAAUGCAUGAGAUGAGGGAUCUUUUACCACUGGACAUUCUCAUUCUCUCACAGGGCGAGUAGUUUCUUCGAAGAGCUCACGUGCUGGCCGAACUGUUUGGCCGUUCAUUGAUUGAGGAUUGAUUCAUUUUACAAGAUGAAGAGAUGUGGUGAUCAUAAUGGGUAUAUCUUUUCCUCUACCACAUUUUUUUCUUUCAAUUUGUCGUCGAUCAUCACCAUUCAUCUCCAAAGCAACUCGCUGUCAUCUCACGGAUGCCAGCCGAUACUUCAUCUUACAAUGUACGUCUCGUGUUCCCAGUA